AGGGAAUCUUCCACAAUGGACGAAAGUCUGAUGGAGCAACGCCGCGUGAGCGAAGAAGGUUUUCGGAUCGUAAAGCUCUGUUGCCGGAGAAGAACGCGUGCCAGAGGAAAUGCUGGUGCAGUGACGGUAUCCGGCCAGAAAGCCACGGCUAACUACGUGCCAGCAGCCGCGGUAAUACGUAGGUGGCAAGCGUUGUCCGGAAUUAUUGGGCGUAAAGCGCGCGCAGGCGGCUUCUUAAGUCUGAUGUGAAAUCUUGCGGCUCAACCGCACGCGGUCAUUGGAAACUGGGGAGCUUGAGUACAGAAGAGGAGAGUAGAAUUCCACGUGUAGCGGUGAAAUGCGUAGAGAUGUGGAGGAAUACCAGUGGCGAAGGCGGCUCUCUGGUCUGUUACUGACGCUGAGGUGCGAAAGCGUGGGGAGCAAAC
rnacentral:rRNA from 1 species